UGGGGAAUAUUGGACAAUGGGCGCAAGCCUGAUCCAGCCAUGCCGCGUGAGUGACGAAGGUCUUCGGAUUGUAAAGCUCUUUUACCAGGGAUGAUAAUGACAGUACCUGGAGAAUAAGCUCCGGCUAACUCCGUGCCAGCAGCCGCGGUAAUACGGAGGGAGCUAGCGUUGUUCGGAAUUACUGGGCGUAAAGCGUACGUAGGCGGUGACUCAAGUCAGAGGUGAAAGCCUGGAGCUCAACUCCAGAACUGCCUUUGAAACUAGGUCGCUAGAAUCACGGAGAGGUGAGUGGAAUUCCGAGUGUAGAGGUGAAAUUCGUAGAUAUUAGGAGGAACACCAGUGGCGAAGGCGGCUCACUGGCCCGAUACUGACGCUGAGGCGCGAAAGCGUGGGGAGCAAACAGGAUUAGAUACCCUUGUAGUCCCUGAGCGGGCUGGCAAGGCGCAU
rnacentral:rRNA from 1 species